rnacentral:snoRNA from 1 species
AUACCAUAGUGAGGACAUCUAUAAAGUAACUCAUUGAAUCUUUCCCACACCUCGUAUAGGGAUUUAUCAUCCAUUUGUUGAAAAGUGGUGAUCUCGUUCCGCCACU